rfam:Schistosoma curassoni strain Dakar, Senegal genome assembly, scaffold: SCTD_scaffold0004655
GCACUGCUGAGGAGUCCCACAAUAGGAUGAAACGGCCGCCCAGUGC